UACGUAGGGUGCGAGCGUUAAUCGGAAUUACUGGGCGUAAAGCGUGCGCAGGCGGUUAUGUAAGACAGAUGUGAAAUCCCCGGGCUCAACCUGGGAACUGCAUUAGUGACUGCAUAGCUGGAGUACGGCAGAGGGGGAUGGAACUCCGCGUGUAGCAGUGAAAUGCGUAGAUAUGCGGAGGAACACCGAUGGCGAAGGCAAUCCCCUGGGCCUGUACUGACGCUCAUGCACGAAAGCGUGGGGAGCAAACAGGAUUAGAUACCCUGGUAGUC
rnacentral:rRNA from 1 species